rnacentral:rRNA from 1 species
AUAAUGGGUCAGCGACUUAUAUUCUGUAGCAAGGUUAACCGAAUAGGGGAGCCGAAGGGAAACCGAGUCUUAACUGGGCGUUAAGUUGCAGGGUAUAGACCCGAAACCCGGUGAUCUAGCCAUGGGCAGGUUGAAGGUUGGGUAACACUAACUGGAGGACCGAACCGACUAAUGUUGAAAAAUUAGCGGAUGACUUGUGGCUGGGGGUGAAAGGCCAAUCAAACCGGGAGAUAGCUGGUUCUCCCCGAAAGCUAUUUAGGUAGCGCCUCGUGAAUUCAUCUCCGGGGGUAGAGCACUGUUUCGGCAAGGGGGUCAUCCCGACUUACCAACCCGAUGCAAACUGCGAAUACCGGAGAAUGUUAUCACGGGAGACACACGGCGGGUGCUAACGUCCGUCGUGAAGAGGGAAACAACCCAGACCGCCAGCUAAGGUCCCAAAGUCAUGGUUAAGUGGGAAACGAUGUGGGAAGGCCCAGACAGCCAGGAUGUUGGCUUAGAAGCAGCCAUCAUUUAAAGAAAGCGUAAUAGCUCACUGGUCGAGUCGGCCUGCGCGGAAGAUGUAACGGGGCUAAACCAUGCACCGAAGCUGCGGCAGCGACGCUUAUGCGUUGUUGGGUAGGGGAGCGUUCUGUAAGCCUGCGAAGGUGUGCUGUGAGGCAUGCUGGAGGUAUCAGAAGUGCGAAUGCUGACAUAAGUAACGAUAAAGCGGGUGAAAAGCCCGCUCGCCGGAAGACCAAGGGUUCCUGUCCAACGUUAAUCGGGGCAGGGUGAGUCGACCCCUAAGGCGAGGCCGAAAGGCGUAGUCGAUGGGAAACAGGUUAAUAUUCCUGUACUUGGUGUUACUGCGAAGGGGGGACGGAGAAGGCUAUGUUGGCCGGGCGACGGUUGUCCCGGUUUAAGCGUGUAGGCUGGUUUUCCAGGCAAAUCCGGAAAAC